UACGUAGGGUGCAAGCGUUAAUCGGAAUUACUGGCCGUAAAGCGUGCGCAGGCGGCUCGGAAAGAAAGAUGUGAAAUCCCAGGGCUUAACCUUGGAAUGGCAUUUUUAACUCCCGAGCUAGAGUAUGUCAGAGGGGGGUAGAAUUCCACGUGUAGCAGUGAAAUGCGUAGAGAUGUGGAGGAAUACCGAUGGCGAAGGCAGCCCCCUGGGAUAAUACUGACGCUCAGGCACGAAAGCGUGGGGAGCAAACAGG
rnacentral:rRNA from 1 species